ensembl:lncRNA
AGCAGCGCGUCCGCGCGCUUCCAUGGACGGGCUCGCUCUCGGUCGUUUUAAUUGUUCUCCCUCUGAAACGACAAUAGUCAGAGAUCUUUCUAAUUUAUUCGUUAAAUGAAACGUUUUAAAGUGAAAAGGUUCCCUUUGUUUCCGCGUAUCAGAUGUAAAAUAACGUUUAAUACCGAAGGAGAAAAACAGCGGGCGGAAGAAGCUCUGCAGGUAGAUUUGUUCUGCACGAUGUUGAAUAACUCAAAUUAAUCUUCCUCCUACGUUUGGUGUUUUAAUGUGCGCUCUGGGUGGUGAUGACGUCAUGAGGCUGCGCAGGAAAGUGGAUUCCAGCGGGAUUCUGCCAUCAGGAGGCUUCAGAAGGUCGCACAUUAAAGAAGAAGAACUCUACACCUGCAGGAAUCACAGCUCCAACAGUUUAUCUAAAGUGAAGACGUUGGCGCUCAUCAUCCAACACAGACGGAAACACCGGAGACGGCCGCGGUCACCGGCUUCGAUCCGCCGCGACGGGACUUUACCGCAAACGGCCUGCGCGUAGUAACGCGAGAUCACCACGGAACAAGUAAGUGCGUCUUGUUUUCAUAUUUGGCACAGAAACGAAGGUAUGAGUGUGGAGGUGGAGGUGGUGGUGCGCGGGUUGGGGUGGAGUCGGGUGGGGGGGAUGGAGGGAGCCCCCCAAAGGCCCUUGAGGUCCGGUGAUCCACCUGUAGUCCAACGUAUAAUCGAAUUAUCACAGGAGGUUAUUUGGGGCUGAACGGCUCCCGUUCGGUCGGACUUUAAAUGUUUUCACGUUCACGGCGCGUUUUAUUGGUAAGAUUCUGGAUUCACAUCAGAGAUUUAAAAAAUGUUCUUUUUUUAUUCCUGGAGUGUUUUUUUUAAUUAUCAAACAAUGUUCGUUUAAAAAUGCUGCUACAUUUAAAUUAACCUCCGGGGAAAAUAUCAGUUCUCGUUUACAUUUACAUGUAUUCUUCCCUUUUAUAUUAAACGCACUUAAAGACUUGAGGUGUCCACUUGUUUGUGUGGUUCGGACCGAUGCAGUAAUCUUCAUAUCUGCUCUUAUCUGGUGAUUCGAUGUGUUUAUUCUAUUUGUUCAGUCAAUCAACACACAGGUUUGUGUUGUAACGUGUUUCGUAAGCGGCUUGAAACUGUGUGUUUUUACGUGUGUGUGCACGCACGUGUGUGUGUCUGUGUGUGUUCUUUUGUUUUAGAUCCUGAAGCGGUAAAAUAAAUAUUCCUUUUUUUUUGACAUCACGUGAUCCUAUUUAGAGGCGAUAUUAAAUACUUUUAAAUUCGUUGUCGUAGCGAGUUGCCCUUUGGUGCCGCUGCCAAGAACCCGCAGACUGCGUGCGGCAUCGUUCCCGUCGCGCAGUUAUCUGUCUGCGCGCUGUUUAAAAGCUGGACGGCCUCGAUCCUCUGGAGGCCACGAACCGGCUCCGAGAGGACAGGACCAGCGGUUUAUGACGUGGGGGGACAUCUGGAGCUGGGGACAAAUACAACAACUGCGGCAUUUCAUCUUUUUAAAGGACCUCAAACCAAAUAAUGUGCAGGGUUGGACGACACUUUGGGUGCAGAGGUUUUCUAAGAUGCCGGCAAACAUUUCAUUGUACAAUUUUCUGUGCAAUGAAGGUGACCUCUGACUGGUAUUCUCAUUUAUUUUUAUUUGUACAUAAAAGCAACCUAACGUAUCCAGAUAACAUUUACUGUACACAGACAUGUUUGAAUCCAGAUUGAUUCACAAUAACAAACACGCAGCUGUAUAUUUUCUGACGAAUACUGAAAUCUAUUUUCAUUAUUAGUGGGUGGAAACUCAAAUGUACAAAUGUAAAGAACACAAAUGCCUUUUACUGAAUUAUUAUAAUUCCAGUCAUCAUUAUUAGUUUGUUCAGCACAA